AGUUUGUCCAUGUAGGCGGGCACCACCGCCGCGGCACCGCAAAGGAUCAGCGAUGGAGUGAUGCGGGACAGACCGGGAAACGGCGUGUGAUCCUCUAGCGUGGAUGCACUCAGCUGACUGCAAGGAAUCAAAGAGGGAAUACUGCUACAAAGUUCUGGGGGGCUCUGCCAAAUGGCAUAAAUGCGCAAAUAUUUGGCUGGACAACCUGGUGCACUUCAAAGUGGGUGAAAAACCCGAUAAAAUAAGAACAUUUCGCGGGCGAACAAAGGAGCACAACUGGUGCUAAGCCAAAAACAAAUGGGCCAUAAACAAAUGGCAGGUAUUCGUGUGUGUUUUUGUGAAUGGAAAAACAACCCAUCCCAGCCCAUCCAAUCCAAUCCCAUUCGAUCCCAUCCCAUCCCAUCGCCUACGUAUUUAUGGGUCGACGUCAUGGUUCUAUGAGUUCGUUGCGUAGGCACAAACAAUAAACAUAUUGUAAACACGACUAGCUGUUCGAUUCAGGUGUGAUUAUUUAUAUAGCGAGCAAAUUAGGUAGUAGGCAGCCACAAAGGUUUGUCGAGGUGACAUCAUGGCGACCUUGAGCAAAUCUAGUGCUUAGUGUUUGUGGCUAACAAAACGGGCUCAAAUGUCGACCACAAAUGUUUGUACUUGGCAGCAAACUGCAAAAUGUGCGUGCAUUUACUCACUUCUGGCGACUUUCCUUCUCGACCGUCUCAUUGGCGAAGGGAACGCCACUGAUGGCGAUGCCGCCGACUAUUAACUCCUGCAUGUUUAUGGGCUCACAAAUUCGCGCUGGCCACUUAGUCGGGAAUUUGCGCUAAACAAUAAACGAAUUCCGCGGAUUCCAGGCCAAAAUUAAAAAUUAUUUUCCGCCUUGCUCGCUCUCCAACGAUUCAAUUCGAUUCGAUUCGAUUCGGUAAACAAACUGAAGUUCUUUUGGGAACUCGUGGGAGAGACAACACUGUUCUUUUUGGCCAACCAACGACGACUGGCCGACGAAUAGGAAUGCCUUCGAAAAAUGUUUUCAGUUCGAGUUGAUGUG
ensembl:ncRNA asRNA:CR44046 antisense RNA:CR44046